GAAAGCCUGACGGAGCAAGACCGCGUGGGGGAAGAAGGCUCUUGGGUUGUAAACCCCUUUUCUCUGGGAAGAAAGUUGUGAAAGCAACCUGACGGUACCAGAGGAAUCAGCAUCGGCUAACUCCGUGCCAGCAGCCGCGGUAAGACGGAGGAUGCAAGCGUUAUCCGGAAUGAUUGGGCGUAAAGCGUCCGCAGGUGGCAGUUCAAGUCUGCUGUCAAAGACCGGGGCUUAACUUCGGAAAGGCAGUGGAAACUGAACAGCUAGAGUAUGGUAGGGGCAGAGGGAAUUCCUGGUGUAGCGGUGAAAUGCGUAGAGAUCAGGAAGAACAUCGGUGGCGAAGGCGCUCUGCUGGRCCAUAACUGACACUCAGGGACGAAAGCUAGGGGAGCGAAUGGGAUUAGAUACCCCAGUAGUCCUAGCCGUAAACGAUGGAUACUAGGUGUUGUCUGUAUCGACCCGGA
rnacentral:rRNA from 1 species